rnacentral:lncRNA from 1 species
UGGGACUCUGAAAUCUGUUCAUUCGUCAUUCACUACAAGUUUUUAAUAAUGCGCAACUCGCAUUGACAGGUGAAAAUCAGAUCUACCUGCUUACACUGCAGACACGAAGACAAGGAUUAGAUUCAUAUUGGAUAAAAUUCCACAUAUUAACAAGGCAACAUAUGAAUCUUAUUUGAGUAAAAAGGAAUCCAUGUGAUUUUUUUCCUGCUUACACGUACACGGUGCCAUAUCUGAUCAGUGCCACAUGGAAGAAAAAAAAUCAGAAUUGAGUCACUUGAACCAUGCAGUGUAGUUGCAACCUUGGUUAACAGAAGAACAAAUUAAUUGCACUUGAUUUAACCUUGUUUGCACUUGAUGUUUGCCUCUUGUUUUCAGAAUUUGGACCGAGAAUUAAACAAUGCACAGGAUCUGAUUGCAGCAGAUAACAGACUUUCUAACAGUCCCCUGGUGAAGGUGCUGAGAGGAGAUCCUCAAAGAAUGCUUCAACUACCAGCUAACUGUCCCACCGAGCACUCUGCCUUUUGGAGCCCAUCAUCUGUCCUUGCUGUGGAAAGCAUCUCUCAGCAAAUAGACCAGGCUCAAGCACCUCUGCUCACGCUUUUUGUCCAAAAGGUUUGUUUACUUAACAUUUAACAUUCAACACAACUUUGUCAGAUUACAGUAGCUGUGAAUAUGUUUUUAUGUUGUGUGUGUUUGCAUCAUCAGGUGCAUUAUAUAAGACAGCUGGACUGUUUGCCUGCUCUUGCUGCCCUUUUGUCUGAUUUAAUAAAAGUGCUUCCUCCAGGCUCUGAAACCCAGAACCACACCAUCGCCUCACUGCUGCACUGUAUUCCUGCAGGUCUGUCAUACUCACUGUUGGAGAUAGAUUGUUGAUUGAUUUAUCAAGUAUGUAACAUUGCUGUGCUGUAAUUUGGGUUACUGAAUAUAGGCCACCAGAAGAAACUAAUGUCAGAAAGAGUCGAGAUAUACAUGAAAGUGUGGAACCAACUCAGAAUGGAAAUAUCUAGUAACGCUUCUUUGGGUUUGGAUUCUACACAUUGUGAAAAAGACAUAACCAGCGAAAGCUCUGGCCAGUUUCUUUUCCCAAGCCGUAAAGGAGCAGGUUCAUGUCUCCAUGCAGUCAUAGAUGUCCUCUCUGAGACCCACAACAGUCUUGUGCGGGAAGCCAGAAAACUCUGUCAGCAGACAGACAGGUGUGUAUUUAUUCUAAUAUUUAAAACAUUUGGACUUAGUAAGAUGUAUAUAUAUAUAUAUAGAUUUUUUUGUCUCUUACCAGAAAUGUAUUUAUUUGAUAAAACAAGACUAUUGUGAAAUAU